UUGGGGCCAUAUCUUAUAAAAAAUCACCGCUUCUCGCCCGAUUACCGAAGUUAAGAAACGUCGAUCGUGUUCAGUACCUGGAUGGGUGUCCGCUUGGGAAUACCGGGUGUUGUAAG